rnacentral:lncRNA from 1 species
CAAGUGCUGAAGGCUUCUUUGCCCUCUCCUGCUUUACCUUUCCCUUUUUCCCAAACAGAGGAUUUCAAGAUCCAUACUGUUAUUUUUCUAUUCUGUUAUAUCAAAGCUCCUUGUGAACCCUUCAUUAUUUCCUUUACAGAGAAUGGUGACGUGACACAAUGGGACAGAGAUUUCAGUACCAUUUGGAUCUGCCUUGGGAUCUCCAGGAGCCAUGGCAUGUCACUGAUUUUGCCUGGAAGACUGAAUGCCAUUUGAUAGGUGAAUUUGUGGGUUCUGGAUACACUCUCAGCUAUAGAAGCAGAGGACAAUUGCCAUUAUUUCUCAGUUCCUUUUCCUCUGGUGGCACAAUAUGCAGUCUUUGGUUCAGAAAGCAGAGUGGCCCAUUGAUUCCGGGAACACUUCCAUAG